GACGAACGCUGGCGGCGUGCUUAACACAUGCAAGUCGAACGAAGUGGCGAACGGGUGAGUAACGAGUAAUCAACCUGCCAUUCAGAGGGGGACAACAGUUGGAAACGACUGCUAAUAACGCAUACUGAAGGAGGGGAUUGCGUCGGAUUAGCUAGUGGGAGGGGUAAAGGCCAACCAAGGCGAUGAUCAGUAGCCGGUCUUGGAGGAUGAACUGCAACAUGGGGCCUGGUACACGUCCCAGACUCCUACGGGAGGCAGCAGUGGGGAAUCUUUCGCAAUGGACGAAAGUCUGACGGAGCAACGCCGCGUGAGUGAUGACGGCCUUCGGGUUGUAAAGCUCUGUUAAUCGGGACGCGGUACCGGAAUAGAAAGCCACGGCUAACUACGUGCCAGCAGCCGCGGUAAUUC
rnacentral:rRNA from 1 species